rnacentral:rRNA from 1 species
CGCGGCCUAUCAGCUUGUUGGUGGGGUGAUGGCCUACCAAGGCGACGACGGGUAGCCGGCCUGAGAGGGCGACCGGCCACACUGGGACUGAGACACGGCCCAGACUCCUACGGGAGGCAGCAGUGGGGAAUAUUGCACAAUGGGCGGAAGCCUGAUGCAGCGACGCCGCGUGAGGGAUGACGGCCUUCGGGUUGUAAACCUCUUUCAGCAGGGACGAAGCGUGAGUGACGGUACCUGCAGAAGAAGCGCCGGCCAACUACGUGCCAGCAGCCGCGGUAAGACGUAGGGCGCGAGCGUUGUCCGGAUUUAUUGGGCGUAAAGAGCUCGUAGGCGGCUUGUCGCGUCGACUGUGAAAACCCGCGGCUCAACCGCGGGCCUGCAGCCGAUACGGGCAGGCUGGAGUUCGGUAGGGGAGACUGGAAUUCCUGGUGUAGCGGUGAAAUGCGCAGAUAUCAGGAGGAACACCGAUGGCGAAGGCAGGUCUCUGGGCCGAUACUGACGCUGAGGAGCGAAAGCGUGGGGAGCGAACAGGAUUAGAUACCCUGGUAGUCCACGCUGUAAACGUUGGGCGCUAGGUGUGGGGGACCUCUCCGGUUCUCUGUGCCGCAGCUAACGCAUUAAGCGCCCCGCCUGGGGAGUACGG